rnacentral:lncRNA from 1 species
AUCGCAUCCAAGUGUACCCAAGUAUGAAUUUGGGAACAGUUCUUUAGUGACUUGGGAGAAAAGAUAUAAAAUAUCUGAGAAUCACUUUCAUUAUUUUUAAAGAUAUUUUCUUGCAGUUAAUUGACACAUGGGCCUAAAGUCAUGAUCCCAGUGACUUGUGAUAUGCCAUAUGCAGUGACGUGAGAACCAGCAAAUGAGGAUGGCUUCACCUAGGUCUGUUAUGUCUUCCUGGUACCGAAGCCCUUGAGCAUCUGUGUCUGUCACAGCCAGACACCAACGUGAUACUAGCCAGCACUGUGGAGGCCACGUUCUGCUCCUGGGAGGAGAAACUGCAGCCUCAGACCUGGGGGCCUGUCACCUUCGUCCUCUGUCUGGACACAUGCAUGGAAGGUUCCCUCUUGGCACAGUGGAUCUGUGAGCCUUGGCCAAGACUUCACUGUGUGUCAGGGUUAAGUCAAAUGACACCUGCGAUUAGCACGCCGGUGGUCUCAAAAUGCUAAUUUGUCUGUCCUUCACUGGUUGUCUAGCAACUUCAGUGUGAUUGAUGGAGAGAAAACUUUACAAAGAGAGUGAAAUUAUUAUGUUGAAGGACAGCAGACCAAUCAAAUUUGUGUAGGAUUUUUAAAGUAAUGUUCUGUAGAUAAAAUUCUAAAAAUUUCAAUCAAUACUGAGAACAAGCAUCCUGUAAGGGUGGAAUAUUUUGCUUUUGUUAGUUUCCCUAGCAAAUGGCAAUCUGUUAAUAGAAAAUACCUUCAGAUAACUCUCCUCUGUGGCCUCCUGAUUUCUGAGCGUCCCUAGGUCUGUGAACAGGGCUACACUUUGUGGACAGAGACCAGGGACCGAGGCCAAAGUCCCCUCAGUCCCCUAACCCCAG